rnacentral:rRNA from 1 species
AGCUACAGGCUUAACACAUGCAAGUCGAGGGGCAUCAGUUUGGUUUGCUUGCAAACCAAAGCUGGCGACCGGCGCACGGGUGAGUAACACGUAUCCAACCUGCCUCAUACUCGGGGAUAGCCUUUCGAAAGAAAGAUUAAUAUCCGAUAGCAUAUAUUUCCCGCAUGGGUUUUAUAUUAAAGAAAUUCGGUAUGAGAUGGGGAUGCGUUCCAUUAGUUUGUUGGCGGGGUAACGGCCCACCAAGACUACGAUGGAUAGGGGUUCUGAGAGGAAGGUCCCCCACAUUGGAACUGAGACACGGUCCAAACUCCUACGGGAGGCAGCAGUGAGGAAUAUUGGUCAAUGGACGCGAGUCUGAACCAGCCAAGUAGCGUGAAGGAUGACUGCCCUAUGGGUUGUAAACUUCUUUUAUAUGGGAAUAAAGUGGUCCACGUGUGGAUUUUUGUAUGUACCAUAUGAAUAAGGAUCGGCUAACUCCGUGCCAGCAGCCGCGGUAAUACGGAGGAUCCGAGCGUUAUCCGGAUUUAUUGGGUUUAAAGGGAGCGUAGGCGGGUGCUUAAGUCAGUUGUGAAAGUUUGCGGCUCAACCGUAAAAUUGCAGUUGAUACUGGGUACCUUGAGUGCAGCAUAGGUAGGCGGAAUUCGUGGUGUAGCGGUGAAAUGCUUAGAUAUCRCGAAGAACUCCGAUUG